UGCAGUCGAGCGGAACGAGUUAUCUGAACCUUCGGGGGACGAUAACGGCGUCGAGCGGCGGACGGGUGAGUAAUGCCUAGGAAAUUGCCCUGAUGUGGGGGAUAACCAUUGGAAACGAUGGCUAAUACCGCAUGAUGCCUACGGGCCAAAGAGGGGGACCUUCGGGCCUCUCGCGUCAGGAUAUGCCUAGGUGGGAUUAGCUAGUUGGUGAGGUAAGGGCUCACCAAGGCGACGAUCCCUAGCUGGUCUGAGAGGAUGAUCAGCCACACUGGAACUGAGACACGGUCCAGACUCCUACGGGAGGCAGCAGUGGGGAAUAUUGCACAAUGGGCGCAAGCCUGAUGCAGCCAUGCCGCGUGUGUGAAGAAGGCCUUCGGGUUGUAAAGCACUUUCAGUCGUGAGGAAGGUAGUGUAGUUAAUAGCUGCAUUAUUUGACGUUAGCGACAGAAGAAGCACCGGCUAACUCCGUGCCAGCAGCCGCGGUAAUACGGAGGGUGCGAGCGUUAAUCGGAAUUACUGGGCGUAAAGCGCAUGCAGGUG
rnacentral:rRNA from 1 species